AUCCAGCCGAAGAGUCGCAAAUAAGACAAAACAUAUGUCCUGGAU
rfam:Schistosoma haematobium scaffold16_7, whole genome shotgun sequence.